rnacentral:misc_RNA from 1 species
CAAGCCAAAAGAACCAAAAAGUCUCAUGUAUAUGUUUAAAGCACACAAGAUCAAAAGAGGGACAGGGAAUAUUCAUGAAGAAAAUUCAAGUAAUUAAUCUAGUGAUACUAGUUGCAGUAUACACAUAAAACUGACCAACUUAACAUUAGCAAUAAGCCUAUAGGUAACUGUUAGAGAAAUGGGGAGAAAACCUUGAAAAAAGAAUUAUUUGAUUAAAAGAUAUAUUUCUACUAUAUAUGAACUCUAAUUCAUAUAAGAUCUCACCAUUCAUUUAUUUUUAUCCCUAAACUUAUAAAUAUUAAUACAACACUAUAAUAAAACAAAACUUUUACAUACAAAAUAGUUGCUGAUGACAUUAUUUUUCAAAAAGUCUUAUUAAUUAUCAGAGUUCCACCACCAUAAUGACAAAUCAUAAUUGCCACAGAAAACAACUUAAGUUUUGAGGAG